GAUGAACGUUGGCGGCGUGCCUAAUACAUGCAAGUCGAGCGAACGGACGAGAAGCUUGCUUCUCUGAUGUUAGCGGCGGACGGGUGAGCAACACGUGGAUAACCUACCUAUAAGACUGGGAUAACUUCGGGAAACCGGAGCUAAUACCGGAUGAUAUUUUGAACCGCAUGGUUCAAAAGUGAAAGACGGUCUUGCUGUCACUUAUAGAUGGAUCCGCGCUGCAUUAGCUAGUUGGUAAGGUAACGGCUUACCAAGGCAACGAUGCAUAGCCGACCUGAGAGGGUGAUCGGCCACACUGGAACUGAGACACGGUCCAGACUCCUACGGGAGGCAGCAGUAGGGAAUCUUCCGCAAUGGGCGAAAGCCUGACGGAGCAACGCCGCGUGAGUGAUGAAGGUCUUCGGAUCGUAAAACUCUGUUAUUAGGGAAGAACAUAUGUGUAAGUAACUGUGCACAUCUUGACGGUACCUAAUCAGAAAGCCACGGCUAACUACGUG
rnacentral:rRNA from 1 species